CGGCAGGCUUACACAUGCAGUCGAGGGAUCGAGUCGUCAUCCUCGAAAACCGGCAAACGGGUGAGUCACGCGUCCGCAACCUUCCUCAUCCAAGGGGAUCGCUUCGAGAAAUCGAAAUUAAUACCUUAUAGAAUUUAGUACUGGCAUCAGUAUUUUAUUAAAGAUUUAUCGGUAUGAGAUGGGCGUGCGUGACAUUAGCUAGUUGGUAAGGUAACGGCUUACCAAGGCUACGAUGUCUAGGGGUUCUUGAAGGAAAGUCCCCUACACUGGUACUGAGACACGGACCAGACUCCUACGGGAGGCAGCAGUGAGGAAUAUUGGUCAAUGGGCGAGAGCCUGAACCAGCCAUGCCGCGUGCAGGAUGACUGCCUUAUGGGUUGUAAACUGCUUUUGUACGGGAAUAAAGUGAGCUAUGUAUAGUUUUUUGUAGGUACCGUAUGAAUAAGGAUCGGCUAACUCCGUGCCAGCAGCCGCGGUAAUACGGAGGAUCCGAGCGUUAUCCGGAUUUAUUAGGUUUAAAGGGUGCGUAGGCGGGAUUAUAAGUCAGUGGUGAAAGGCGUCGGCUUAACCGAUAGUGUGCCAUUGAUACUGUAGUUCUUGGAUAGAGUUGAGGCUGGCGGAAUGUGUAAUGUAGCGGUGAAAUGCAUAGAUAUUACACAGAACACCAAUUGCGUAGGCAGCUGGCUAAGCUUUUAUUGACGCUGAGGCACGAAAGCGUGGGGAUCAAACAGGAUUAGAUACCCUGGUAGUCCACGCCGUAAACGAUGAUUACUCGUUGUUGGCAAUAUACUGUCAGUGACUGAGCGAAAGCAAUAAGUAAUCCACCUGGGGAGUACGUUCGCAAGAAUGAAACUCAAAGGAAUUGACGGGGGCCCGCACAAGCGGAGGAACAUGUGGUUUAAUUCGAUGAUACGCGAGGAACCUUACCUGGGCUCGAACGUGCAAUGAAUUAGUGUGAAAGCAUUAAGUCGCAAGACAUUGUACGAGGUGCUGCAUGGCUGUCGUCAGCUCGUGCCGUGAGGUGUCGGUUUAAGUACCAUAACGAGCGCAACCCCUAUUGAUAGUUGCCAGCGGGUCAUGCCGGGAACUCUAUCGAGACUGCCACCGUAAGGUGUGAGGAAGGUGGGGAUGACGUCAAGUCAGCACGGCCCUUACGUCCAGGGCUACACACGUGUUACAAUGGUCGAUACAGAGGGCAGCAAUCAGGUGACUGUGAGCUAAUCCUAAAAGUCGAUCUCAGUUCGGAUUGGAGUCUGUGACUCGACUCCAUGAAGUUGGAUUCGCUAGUAAUCGUAGAUCAGCAAUGCUACGGUGAAUACGUUCCCGGGCCUUGUACACACCGCCCGUCAAGCCAUGGAAGCUGGGGGGACCUGAAGUUCGUGACCGCAAGGAGCGA
rnacentral:rRNA from 1 species